GGCCUCAUAUCUCAGUGGUUAGAGCACUGGUUUAGUAAACCAGUGUUUGUGAGUUCAGUUCUCACUGAGGCCU